UACGUAGGGUCCAAGCGUUAAUCGGAAUUACUGGGCGUAAAGCGUGCGCAGGCGGUUUUGUAAGUCAGAUGUGAAAUCCCCGGGCUUAACCUGGGAAUGGCAUUUGGGACUGCAAGGCUAGAGUACGGCAGAGGAGACUAGAAUUCCUGGUGUAGCAGUGAAAUGCGUAGAUAUCAGGAGGAAUACCGAUGGCGAAGGCAGGUCUCUGGGUCGAUACUGACGCUCAUGCACGAAAGCGUGGGGAGCAAACAGG
rnacentral:rRNA from 1 species